UGGGGAAUAUUGCACAAUGGGCGCAAGCCUGAUGCAGCGACGCCGCGUGGGGGAUGAAGGCCUUCGGGUUGUAAACCCCUUUCAGCAGGGAAGAAGCGAAAGUGACGGUACCUGCAGAAGAAGCGCCGGCUAACUACGUGCCAGCAGCCGCGGUAAUACGUAGGGUGCAAGCGUUGUUCGGAAUCACUGGGCGUAAAGGGAGCGUAGGCGGGAUCGUAAGUUAGGAGUUUAAUACAUGGGCUUAACCCGUGGCUGGCUUUUAAUACUGCGGUUCUUGAGUAUGGGAGAGGGCGAUGGAAUUCCAGGUGUAGCGGUGGAAUGCGUAGAUAUCUGGAAGAACACCAGUAGCGAAGGCGGUCGCCUGGCCUAAUACUGACGCUGAUGCUCGAAAGCUAGGGGAGCAAACAGG
rnacentral:rRNA from 1 species